CUGGAGGGAACACAUAUGUCAGUUCGAAAUCUCAUCUGAUCAGGGGUGGACUGACCACUUGCACACAUCAGUCAUGGACCGAGGGCCGUGGCAGUCAGUGGCCCGGAGCAGCUAUGGCCCGGCUGGGGAGAUCAGAGAGUCAAAUAAAGCACCAAUGCAGUGUGACCAGCAUGAAAUUCUCCUUACCUGGUCUCUGAUAAACCUCCUUAGCGGGAGCUCCGUGUAGGAUAAGAGAUGGGGAUAUUUCCUCCUCCCUCAGCCCAUCCCCUCUGUGGGGUUAAAGUUAGACCCCUACAAGCCUCU